CAGACACUAAAACAGCUCAUGUUAAGAACCCUCACAAAAGAGACCAAACUAGAUGACCCCUGUCCUAAUGUCUUUGGUUGGGGCGACCACGGGGUAACAAAAAACCCCCGCGCGGAACAGAAACACUGUUUCCAGAACCAAGAGCACCCGCUCUAAGUAACAAGACCCACUUGACCUUUGAGAUCCGGCACAAGCCGAUCAACGGACCGAGUUACCCUAGGGAUAACAGCGCAAUCUUCUUCGAGAGUUCAUAUCGACGAGAAGGUUUACGACCUCGAUGUUGGAUCAGGACAUCCUAAUGGUGCAGCCGCUAUUAAG
rnacentral:rRNA from 1 species